rnacentral:tRNA from 1 species
ACCAUCUUGGCAGAUAAAUGCAGUAGGCUUAGAACCUAUUUAUAGAGAUAUUCUCUAGUUGGUA